rnacentral:rRNA from 1 species
CGCAUCUGUGCAUGCAGCAUAUCAAUAAGCGGAGGAAAAGAAACUAACAAGGAUUCCCCUAGUAACGGCGAGUGAAGCGGGAAGAAGCUCAAAUUUGAAAUCUUAAAGGGUUUCCCUUUACGAAUUGUAGUUUAAAGAAGUGUUUUCUGUUGAGGUUUUGGUAAAAGUUCUUUGGAAUAGGACAUCAUAGAGGGUGAGAAUCCCGUAUUUGACCUUUACUUUCAACUUUGUGAUACACUUUCAAAGAGUCGGAUUGUUUGGGAAUGCAGUCCAAAAUGGGUGGUAAAUUUCAUCUAAAGCUAAAUAUUGGCGAGAGACCGAUAGCGAACAAGUACCGUGAGGGAAAGAUGAAAAGAACUUUGAAAAGAGAGUUAAACAGUACGUGAAAUUGUCAAAAGGGAAGCGUUUGACACCAGUGUUGUUUUUCUGAAAAUCAAUUAAAGAACUGUUUAUGCUAAGCUGUUUAGACUUUAUCAGCUAUCUGUUUAGUUUUGAGCUUUUCUUUAACGCACUUUUCAGUUAACAAGUCAACAUCAAUUUCUUUUGCUGUAAAAAAGCUUGAGGAAGGUGGCUUGAGAUUCGUCUUAAGUGUUUAUAGCCUCUUGCCUAUGCAGUCGGAGAGAUUGAGGUCUGCAGCGUAGAUCCUUCGGGGCUAAAUGCAUUUGUGCUAAGUUAUAGCAUUUUAUAGACAACUUGUUGACUAUGAUUUGUCUUGUAGCUUACUCGCUUAUGUUAUUUUACCUACGCUUAGGAUGUUGAGUCGUAGAGCACGCA